UACGGGGGGGGCAAGCGUUGUUCGGAAUUACUGGGCGUAAAGGGCGCGUAGGCGGCCUUCUAAGUCGGACGUGAAAUCCCUCGGCUUAACCGAGGAACUGCGUCCGAUACUGAAAGGCUUGAAUCCGGGAGAGGGAUGUGGAAUUCCAGGUGUAGCGGUGAAAUGUGUAGAGAUCGGGAGGAACACCGGUGGCGAAGGCGGGUCUCUGGGCAUGUCUUGACGCUGAGGAGCGAAAGUGUGGGGAGCGAACAGG
rnacentral:rRNA from 1 species